ACAGCCACAUCUAUUUGAAACACCGGUUCCUGCACGAUGACCGAAGUUAAGCAAUGCCGGGCCGGAUCAGUACCUAGAUGGGUGACCGCUUGGGAAAAUCAAGC